rnacentral:rRNA from 1 species
UACGUAGGUGGCAAGCGUUGUUCGGAAUUAUUGGGCGUAAAGGGCGCGUAGGCGGCAUGUUAAGUCGGCUGUGAAAGCCUGGGGCUCAACCCCAGAGGGUCGGCCGAUACUGGCAAGCUAGAGUACGGAAGAGGUAGCUGGAAUUCCCGGUGUAGCGGUGAAAUGCGUAGAUAUUGGGAGGAACACCUGAGGCGAAGGCGGGCUACUGGGCCGAUACUGACGCUGAUGCGCGAAAGCCAGGGGAGCGAACGGG